AUUGAACGCUGGCGGCAGGCCUAACACAUGCAAGUCGAACGAGUGGCGGACGGGUGAGUAAUGUAUGGGAAACUGCCUGAUGGAGGGGGAUAACUACUGGAAACGGUAGCUAAUACCGCAUACCAUCGGAUGUGCCAAGAUGGGAUUAGCUAGUAGGUGGGGUAAAGGCUCACCUAGGCGACGAUCCGUAGCUGGUCUGAGAGGAUGACCAGCCACACUGGAACUGAGACACGGUCCAGACUCCAACGGGAGGCAGCAGUGGGGAAUAUUGCACAAGGGGCGCAAGCCUGAUCCAGCCAUGCCGCGUGUAUGAAGAAGGCCUUCGGGUUGUAAAGUACUUUCAGCGGGGAGGCGUUACCCGCAGAAGAAGCACCGGCUAACUCCGUGCCAGCAGCCGCGGUAAUUC
rnacentral:rRNA from 1 species